AAUGCCAUUAAGCAAAGACAAGUCUUCAGCAUGAAGCUUGACUCUAAACCUUGAGUAGCUACACACAACCAGAACAAAGCUAGGAGUCUGAAGGCAGUUCCCUGCUAGGAUAAAAGUUGAGAGACUCCUUAUCGCCAAGACCUGAGGUGUCUGUAAUCCAAACUCUACCUGCCAAAGCCCUACGUAAAAGCCACUUUACCGUUGCCCGACGCCUACUACCGACUUCUCCUAUUUCACAACAAGCAGCCGGGCAGAAUUUUUCCAGCAACCGCGAAUACUCAGAGUAGUGGAAGGGGAUCCGGGGAGUUCCCCGGUGUGGCUAACAUUUCAAGAGGAAUGGAAAAAUAACAACUUUCUAGUCCCCAACUCGCUCCCCCUUGAGAAAAAGGAGGCAGAGGGUCAGGGAUUGAGCUCAUGACCUUGCACUUGCCAGGCAGAAACUUAAAACAUGUUUAAUCUGAAGUCCUCCUGGAAAGAUGCAAUGGAAACAUCAGACAGCUUAAAGCCAGAAGGAAAUGAGAGAAGAAAUGUGGUGAUCUACAGCUGACACACAGCCACAAGGAGUCAGAACGGAGGAGGGUGGCUGUUCUACUGCAGAGUGUACCUUAUAAUUCAAAAAACUUAGUCACCAGACUCUGAGAACAGAUAAGAGUGGGAGGAAAUAUUUAGGAGCAGCAGUAGGGAAGCAUUUAAUAAAACUCUGCAACUCUAAAACAUCAAGAGCAGAGCUCUUGACAAGCUCCCAGCCUUAUGGAACCUUCAGAAAACCAAAGGACCAACUAAUGGAAUAAAGUACAUCCAUCCAUGCUAUACUGUGUGGUGUAAACAUAAUUCACACUCAACUGACGGAGACAUUUAACAGUGGAGACUAUUUGAAAAAAUCACCUUCCAGGCAUAGUGAUGUCCAGUCCUCAUAGAACUCUGUAAAAUGUGGAUCAGUUCUAAAAAUGACCAUUUCCUGUCAAAACAGAAAAACAAAUGUGGAUGUUGAAAUUGCCUGUCCAUUCUAGGUUACAAGCACAUGGAUGGGUCAAUGAAUAUAUGAACCUCAUACUUUGUCAUCAAAAUAGAUACAACUUUUUGAAAAAGAUUAUAGAUAUUCAGAAAGCCUAGAAAAUAAAUCACUAAAUUUCUUGAGGUCAGUUUUAGGUUUGGGAAGUUUGUCAUUUUGUCAAUGCUCUGCAAAGGUGGAGCUCAAGUGGAACACUAUAGUUGAGGCAAAAGUUGACCAACCAAGCUAAAGGAUUGGGUUGGAAGGGAAGAAAAGAGAUGGUAAAUCUGAGAGGAAGAAGGAAAGAAAGCCUUCACAGGUGGAUUCAUGGGUUCAUGAUGGGCAGAUAACUGGAAGAAAAGAAUGGUGGUUCUAAGUGUAGGCCACUACAGACAUACAUAUUUAUGUUUCAAGAGUCUUAAUCAGAACUAUUGUAAUCUAGAAACAAGUUUCUGUGUACAGUUGAUUAAACAAAAGUCCCAGAAAGAAAAGUACUCCUAUAUCAAGUAGACUGAGCAGUUAGAAGCUUUGGGCCCAGAAUGAAGGUCAAUAUUCUCCAGUUCUUUGUUUCGUAGCCUGAAAAAUGGUGGGUAGGGUGUGAAGUCAGUGGGAUGCUCACAAAGAAUCACAGAACAGAGUGACAGAAAGGUCAACAAAACAAGACAAAACAAAACAACAGUGGCAUCCAGGAGACAUUCAUGUGGUAAUCCUUUCUUAAAUUGUACCAACUAAAAUGAACUUAGAUUAAAAAAAGAAAGAAAGAAAGAAAGAAAAGAAAAAAGAUUAAGUCACAGAUAAGAUUUUCAAAGAAAAUUUUAAAUAAUUCCUGUGUUUUCUGCAGCUCAAAGUGAGAAGCUUGACUUUCUAAGUAAAUGGCCAUUUGCAGCUCUUUUUGUGUAUCAGGGCCACCUGCACCCCGUCCCAACUGCAUGUUACCAACUUGUCCCCCACACACAGUGGCCCACCCAAAGGCACAGAAAAAAAAAUUUCAUACAAAAGAACCUUUCUUCUGGCUUAAAGCAGCAUUUGAGUCAGAUUGCAACUGAAGAUCAACACAUUUGUAUUAUUGUCACACUGAGGAUUGAUUUUUUUUUUUUACUGGUACAAAGUAUUCUAAAAAAGAAUGGAAAAUUACCCCUGUUUGCUUCAAAGAACCAUGCUGAUUUCCUUGAAAUAUGUUGCACUUCAGCGUUGCUCAGGGCAACUGAUUUAAUUCACAGAGAUCCUGCCUGUGACUGAUAGUUUAAGAAAGGUGAAGUUUAUUUGCAGAAGAUUUCAGAUUGGAUAUAAUAAGUAUGUAGAAAGACAUCAAGCAGUUAGGAAAACAAGAACAGAUUUUAGAUCUGUUUAGCUAAUUGCAAAAAGACUAUUUCAUAAAUCUGAGUCCUUAUGAGAAUUUGCUUGAAAGCUAUUGGAAAACUUUUAAGAAAAAGAUUGACCGGAGGCAUAGAAAUCACUAAACAAAUCCAGCUAAUGCGUUUUCACACAGGGAACAGAUGUCAUUGCAUAAAAUUCAAUCUAAAACAUUUUGUCAAAAAGGGCUUCGGCUAGGAUAGCAGUUAGACAAGAAUUUGGCAGAUAGUAGUGCAAUCGAGGGUCUGAACUUUGUAUAUUCCAUUUAAUUCCUUCAAACACCAUAUGAAUCAAUUAAUCAGUCAAUUAAUUAAACAAUCUAUCUGUCUAAAAAACUAUAUAUAUGUUAUAGUGAUAGAUUACUGGAUAUGGGUAUAAUUACUAUCAUUUUGGUGCUUUACUUUCCUUUUGAAGUAAAUAAGCAAGCAGUAUAACUUUCAAAGACAUACAUUUUCAACCAAAGUAACAUCUCCAAAUGAACUGUUUAUUGAACACAGCAUCUGGCAAAUACUAAUUUGCUAUGGAAGUCUGUUGUUUGACAGUAAUCACUCCUGAGUCACAGGGUGACUCUGAUUUCAGAUUGCACACACGGUUGGUCAGAAGCCAUGGAAAAUAACUGAAGCAUUCAUGUUUUCAGUUUCAUGUUGCAGUUUGGGGGCAGAGUCGAAAAUUCAUCCUAUUGUGCCUUUUUUCUAUCAGGGAUAUACUUAUAUCACAGUCCCUUCACAUUGGAUUUAUUUAACUUGCUUCCAUAUCUGACUCCUAGUAGAUUAAAUGCUUUUGAAAGCAGAGAAUAUCUCUAUUUUGAGUUCCUGCCCAAAUGCCUAGGACUUUACUAGCCCUCAAUAAAUGUAUAUUGAAUGAA